CAAGCGGACAGAGGAAACUUCAGGACUUUUCACAGAUUGUAAAGUUAACCACCCUAACACCAAGCUGUAUACCAAAAAUCAGCCUGUUACAAAUGGUUUCCAGAUGUUAGGUUAAGCUGCAGUCUAAACGGCUCGACGAAUUUCCUUAAAAUUUUGUACAAAUGAUUUGUAUGUAAUAUCAAAAGUUUGUUGAGCUCCUUUAAAACGUAUACCACCCAUAUAACAGUUGCGAGAUAGUGUAAUUUUCUCAAAAUCGCCUCUAACGAUCUUGAAUAAAUUUGGUACACAUAUAAAAUACUUUAAGUAAUUCUAAUUAAACUGCAUU